CCCGUACUUGGUGUUACUGCGAAGGGGGGACGGAGAAGGCUAUGUUGGCCGGGCGACGGUUGUCCCGGUUUAAGCGUGUAGGUGUGUGUUCCAGGUAAAUCCGGUUCACUUUAACACUGAGGCGUGACGACGAGGCACUACGGUGCUGAAGCAACAAAUGCCCUGCUUCCAGGAAAAGCCUCUAAGCAUCAGGUAACACGAAAUCGUACCCCAAACCGACACAGGUGGUCAGGUAGAGAAUACCAAGGCGCUUGAGAGAACUCGGGUGAAGGAACUAGGCAAAAUGGUGCCGUAACUUCGGGAGAAGGCACGCUGACACGUAGGUGAAGUGAUUUACUCAUGGAGCUGAAGUCAGUCGAAGAUACCAGCUGGCUGCAACUGUUUAUUAAAAACACAGCACUGUGCAAACACGAAAGUGGACGUAUACGGUGUGACGCCUGCCCGGUGCCGGAA
rnacentral:rRNA from 4 species